rnacentral:rRNA from 1 species
GAUGAACGCUAGCGGCAGGCCUAAUACAUGCAAGUCGAGGGGUAGAGAAGAGCUUGCUUUUCUUGAGACCGGCGCACGGGUGCGUAACGCGUAUGCAACCUACCUUUAUCAGGGGGAUAGCCUCUCGAAAGAGAGAUUAACACCGCAUAAAAACACAGUACGGCAUCGUACAAUGUUCAAAUAUUUAUAGGAUAAAGAUGGGCAUGCGUGACAUUAGCUAGUUGGGGAGGUAAGGGCUCACCAAGGCGACGAUGCCUGGGGGAACUGAGAAGAUGAACCCCCACACUGUUACUGAGACACGGACCAGACUCCUACGGGAGGCAGCAGUAAGGAAUAUUGGUCAAUGGGGGCAACCCUGAACCAGCCAUGCCGCGUGCAGGAAGACGGCCCUACGGGUUGUAAACUGCUUUUAUACGGGAAUAACCCCCUUUACGUGUAAAGGGUUGAAUGUACUGUAAGAAUAAGGAUCGGCUAACUCCGUGCCAGCCGCCGCCGUAA